rnacentral:rRNA from 1 species
AUUGAACGCUGGCGGCAUGCCUUACACAUGCAAGUCGAACGGUAACAGGUCUUCGGCUGCUGCCGAGUGGCGAACGGGGGAGUAAUACAUCGGAACGUGCCCGAUCGUGGGGGAUAACGAGGCGAAAGCUUUGCUAAUACCGCAUACGAUCUACGGAUGAAAGCGGGGGAACUUCGGACCUCGCGCGGCCGGAGCGGCCGAUGGCAGAUUAGGUAGUUGGUGGGAUAAAAGCUUACCAAGCCGACGAUCUGUAGCUGGUCUGAGAGGAUGAUCAGCCACACUGGGACUGAGACACGGCCCAGACUCCUACGGGAGGCAGCAGUGGGGAAUUUUGGACAAUGGGCGAAAGCCUGAUCCAGCCAUGCCGCGUGCAGGAAGAAGGCCUUUGGGUUGUAAACUGCUUUUGUACGGAACGAAAAGCCUCUUUCUAAUAAAGAGGGGUCAUGACGGUACCGUAAGAAUAAGCACCGGCUAACUACGUG